rnacentral:lncRNA from 1 species
CAGAAUGUGAAGGACACCUGCUCCAGCAGGAAUAGCUGGGAUCAAAAUCCAAGCUGUAGAGAAUGAAAGUAAUCUCUGGAAAAUGCACCUUUUCUUUUCCAAGCCUGUCUCCCUC